rnacentral:rRNA from 1 species
AGACCCGAAACCCGGUGAUCUAGCCAUGGGCAGGUUGAAGGUUGGGUAACACUAACUGGAGGACCGAACCGACUAAUGUUGAAAAAUUAGCGGAUGACCUGUGGCUGGGGGUGAAAGGCCAAUCAAACCGGGAGAUAGCUGGUUCUCCCCGAAAGCUAUUUAGGUAGCGCCUCGUGAAUUCAUCUCCGGGGGUAGAGCACUGUUUCGGCUAGGGGGCCAUCCCGGCUUACCAACCCGAUGCAAACUGCGAAUACCGGAGAAUGUUAUCACGGGAGACACACGGCGGGUGCUAACGUCCGUCGUGAAGAGGGAAACAACCCAGACCGCCAGCUAAGGUCCCAAAGUCAUGGUUAAGUGGGAAACGAUGUGGGAAGGCCCAGACAGCCAGGAUGUUGGCUUAGAAGCAGCCAUCAUUUAAAGAAAGCGUAAUAGCUCACUGGUCGAGUCGGCCUGCGCGGAAGAUGUAACGGGGCUAAACCAUGCACCGAAGCUGCGGCAGCGACACUCAGGUGUUGUUGGGUAGGGGAGCGUUCUGUAAGCCUGCGAAGGUGGCCUGUGAGGGUUGCUGGAGGUAUCAGAAGUGCGAAUGCUGACAUAAGUAACGAUAAAGCGGGUGAAAAGCCCGCUCGCCGGAAGACCAAGGGUUCCUGUCCAACGUUAAUCGGGGCAGGGUGAGUCGACCCCUAAGGCGAGGCCGAAAGGCGUAGUCGAUGGGAAACGGGUUAAUAUUCCCGUACUUGGUGUUACUGCGAAGGGGGGACGGAGAAGGCUAUGUUGGCCGGGCGACGGUUGUCCCGGUUUAAGCGUGUAGGUGUGUGUUCCAGGUAAAUCCGGUUCACUUUAACACUGAGGCGUGAUGACGAGGCACUACGGUGCUGAAGCAACAAAUGCCCUGCUUCCAGGAAAAGCCUCUAAGCAUCAGGUAACAUCAAAUCGUACCCCAAACCGACACAGGUGGUCAGGUAGAGAAUACCAAGGCGCUUGAGAGAACUCGGGUGAAGGAACUAGGC